rnacentral:lncRNA from 1 species
CCACGUGUAAAAUAGUAUACCCUUACGGUUAUAUUUGAAAAAUUAAAAAAAUUGAGUAUAGCCGUGCGGCUGUACUAUUUUUAAAUAUAAAAAAGGACCCCACCGAUUAGCCGCCACGUGUCAAAACUAGUCUAUUUUCAGAAAAAAAAAAUAACACAGAGUAUACCCAUGCGGCUGUACUAUUUUUUCUUUUAAAAAAAGAGGACCCUCUGGCGCCACGUGUCAAUAAUUAGAGAAGAAGAAAACGAGAGAAAGAAAAUAGAGAUAGAAGAAUAAAUAAAAGAGAAAGCAAGAAGGAAAAUAAGAAUAGAAUACUAGAAAAAAAAAAACUAAAACGAGAGAGAGAGUUGGCAGGGGGUGGGCUUUUUUUUUUUUUUUUCAAUUCACACGGGUUGGCUUGUUCUUCCUAAUUAUUAUUUUUUUUAAUUAUUUAUUUUUGGUUAUUGUCAAAAGAUUAAACUUUACAAGACGUAUGUUCACUGGCCAGCCUCCAAAAGGGGAUUAAUUUCCUAUUCCACUCCUGUUUAUAUAUUGGAUCUACCUUUAAUCUUGCAAGUUGGUACGUGAUUGACCCUUUGCAAUUUGUUGGCAGUCAGUCUAUCGAAACCAUAAAUUAAAUAGAUUUGUAAAUACUCUUUUUAAAUUGGAACAUCUGUACUC